UGGUGUGGAAGGAUUGCUAUGGUUUUUGUGUGUCUUGUCGCAUGCAUGCGUUCAUAGCGCAUGUUAGCGAUUAUUCAUAUCAAAGAUUGAGGAAAGUCCCCCCACGGAUGCAGAGAUGCAUUUAAUCCCAGAAAACUAGGGCGCCGGGAGGCGCGGCAACGUAUUAGAAACGAUACAGAAGGCAGUUAAGGAUGAAUGUUUAUGACGUUUCUGCCAUUCUGAUGAAACGUAACGUCCAUGCGUGCAAGUCGAACGACGCGCGCGAAGCAAUUCGCGUCCUCAGAAAGUCUUGAAACCUUGCGAAAGUGAGUGUUUCAAGCUUUUCAACCCAUGGUUGAAAAUGAGGGAGUCUAAUGCGAUAAAAUCUAUCAGCACCGGCAAUUGCGCCGGAUGUAAAGACGGAUUGAACAAAAGGGGGCUUACUCUCCACACCA
rnacentral:RNase_P_RNA from 1 species